AACAGGGAUUGCCCUAGUAACGGCGAGUGAAGCGGCAACAGCUCAAAUUUGAAAUUGGCCCUUGGGCCCGAGUUGUAAUUUGCAGAGGAUGCUUCUGGCGCGGUGCCUUCCGAGUUCCCUGGAACGGGACGCCACAGAGGGUGAGAGCCCCGUAUGGUCGGACACCAAGCCUGUGUGAAGCUCCUUCGACGAGUCGAGUAGUUUGGGAAUGCUGCUCAAAAUGGGAGGUAAAUCUCUUCUAAAGCUAAAUACCGGCCAGAGACCGAUAGCGCACAAGUAGAGUGAUCGAAAGAUGAAAAGCACCUUGAAAAGGGGGUUAAACAGUACGUGAAAUUGUUGAAAGGGAAGCGCUUGUGACCAGACUUGCGCCGGGCGGCUCAUCAGGGGUUCUCCCCUGUGUAUUCCGCCCGGUUCAGGCCAGCAUCGGUUGUUGCCGGGGGAUAAGAACGGCGGGAACGUGGCUCCCCUCGGGGAGUGUUAUAGCCCGCCGUACGAUACCCUGGCGGCGACCGAGGUUCGCGCUCCGCAAGGAUGCUGGCGUAAUGGUUACUAGCGACCCGUCUUGAAACACGGACCAAGGAGUCGUCCAUUAGAGCGAGCGUUUGGGUGUAAAACCCGCACGCGUAAUGAAAGUGAAAUUAGGUGAGAGCUUCGGCGCAUCAUCGACCGAUCCUGAUGUUCUCGGAUGGAUUUGAGUAAGAGUUUUAACGGACGGACCCGAAAGACAGUGAACUAUGCUUGUAUAGGGUGAAGCCAGAGGAAACUCUGGUGGAGGCUCGCAGCGGUUCUGACGUGCAAAUCGAUCGUCAAAUAUGAGCAUGGGGGCGAAAGACUAAUCGAACUGUCUAGUAGCUGGUUACCGCCGAAGUUUCCCUCAGGAUAGCAGUGUUGACCUUCAGUUUUAUGAGGUAAAGCGAAUGAUUAGGGACUCGGGGGCGCUCUUUAGCCUUCAUCCAUUCUCAAACUUUAAAUAUGUAAGAAGCCCUUGUUACUUAGUUGAACGUGGGCAU
rnacentral:rRNA from 1 species